AUACGUAGGGGGCGAGCGUUGUCCGGAAUGAUUGGGCGUAAAGGGCGCGUAGGCGGCCCGGUAAGUCUGGAGUGAAAGUCCUGCUUUUAAGGUGGGAAUUGCUUUGGAUACUGUAGGGCUUGAGUGCAGGAGAGGUAAGUGGAAUUCCCAGUGCAGCGGUGAAAUGCGUAGAGAUUGGGAGGAACACCAGUGGCGAAGGCGACUUACUGGACUGUAACUGACGCUGAGGCGCGAAAGUGUGGGGAGCAAACAGGAUUAGAUACCCUGGUAGUCCACACUGUAAACGAUGAAUGCUAGGUGUAGGGGGUAUCGACCCCUUCUGUGCCGCAGUAAACACAAUAAGCAUUCCGCCUGGGGAGUACGGCCGCAAGGUUGAAACUCAAAGGAAUUGACGGGG
rnacentral:rRNA from 1 species